rnacentral:rRNA from 1 species
UCUCGGGGUUACAGCCUUGCUGAAUUAUUCACCCUUGUCUUUUGCGUACUUCUUGUUUCCUUGGUGGGUUCGCCCACCACUAGGACAAACAUAAACCUUUUGUAAUUGCAAUCAGCGUCAGUAACAAAUUAAUAAUUACAACUUUCAACAACGGAUCUCUUGGUUCUGGCAUCGAUGAAGAACGCAGCGAAAUGCGAUAAGUAGUGUGAAUUGCAGAAUUCAGUGAAUCAUCGAAUCUUUGAACGCACAUUGCGCCCUUUGGUAUUCCAAAGGGCAUGCCUGUUCGAGCGUCAUUUGUACCCUCAAGCUUUGCUUGGUGUUGGGCGUCUUGUCUCUAGCUUUGCUGGAGACUCGCCUUAAAGUAAUUGGCAGCCGGCCUACUGGUUUCGGAGCGCAGCACAAGUCGCACUCUCUAUCAGCAAAGGUCUAGCAUCCAUUAAGCCUUUUUUUCAACUUUUGACCUCGGAUCAGGUAGGGAUACCCGCUGAACUUAAGCAUAUCAAUAAGCGGAGGAAAAGAAACCAACAGGGAUUGCCCUAGUAACGGCGAGUGAAGCGGCAACAGCUCAAAUUUGAAAUCUGGCUCUUUUAGAGUCCGAGUUGUAAUUUGCAGAGGGCGCUUUGGCUUUGGCAGCGGUCCAAGUUCCUUGGAACAGGACGUCACAGAGGGUGAGAAUCCCGUACGUGGUCGCUGGCUAUUGCCGUGUAAAGCCCCUUCGACGAGUCGAGUUGUUUGGGAAUGCAGCUCUAAAUGGGAGGUACAUUUCUUCUAAAGCUAAAUAUUGGCCAGAGACCGAUAGCGCACAAGUAGAGUGAUCGAAAGAUGAAAAGCACUUUGGAAAGAGAGUCAAACAGCACGUGAAAUUGUUGAAAGGGAAGCGCUUGCAGCCAGACUUGCUUACAGUUGCUCAUCCGGGUUUCUACCCGGUGCACUCUUCUGUAGGCAGGCCAGCAUCAGUUUGGGCGGUAGGAUAAAGGUCUCUGUCACGUACCUCCUUUCGGGGAGGCCUUAUAGGGGAGACGACAUA